AGAGUUUGAUCAUGGCUCAGAUUGAACGCUGGCGGCAUGCUUAAUACAUGCAAGUCGAACGGUAACAGAUUCUUCGGAAUGCUGACGAGUGGCGGACGGGUGAGUAAUACAUAGGAAUCUGCCCAUGUAGUGGGGGACAACUUGGGGAAACUCAAGCUAAUACCGCAUAAUUCCUACGGGAUAAAGAGGGCCACUGCUUGCAAGCUCUUGCUACUGGAUGAGCCUAUGUCGGAUUAGUUAGUUGGUAAGGUAAUGGCUUACCAAGACAGCGAUCCGUAGCUGGUUUGAGAGGAUGAUCAGCCACACUGGGACUGAGACACGGCCCAGACUCCUACGGGAGGCAGCAGUAGGGAGUAUUGGACAAUGGGCGCAAGCCUGAUCCAGCAAUGCCGCGUGCGUGAAGAAGGCCUGCGGGUUGUAAAGCACUUUCAAUUGGGAAGAAAGAUUAUGAGUUAAUACCUUAUAAUAUCGACG
rnacentral:rRNA from 1 species